rnacentral:rRNA from 1 species
AAUAGAUACCCAGGUAGUCCACGCCGUAAACGAUGGAUGCUAGCUAUUGGGGGAAUCGACCCCUCCGAAGCGAAGCUAACGCGUUAAGCAUCCCGCCUGAGUAGUACGAGCGCAAGCUUAAAACUCAAAGGAAUUGACGGGGACCCGCACAAGCGGUGGAGCGUGUGGUUUAAUUCGAUGGUAAACGAAGAACCUUACCAAGGUUUGACAUCCCGGUAGCCGUUCUCCAAAGGAGAAUUUCAUUUAGUUGGACCGGUGACAGGUGAUGCAUGGCCGUCGUCAGCUCGUGUCGUGAGAUGUUGGGUUAAGUCCCGCAACGAGCGCAACCCUUAUGAUUUAGUUGGAUUUUUUCUAAACAGACUGCCCUGGUAACAGGGAGGAAGGAGGGGAUGAUGUCAGGUCAGUAUUUCCCUUACACCUUGGGCGACACACGCGCUACAAUGGCCGGUACAAUGGGCAGCUAAGCCGCGAGGUGGAGCAAAUCCCAUCAAAGCCGGUCCCAGUUCGGAUUGCAGGCUGAAACCCGCCUGCAUGAAGCCGGAAUCGCUAGUAACC